UCAAAACUUUCUGAAGAUUGAAGCUUGC
rnacentral:sRNA from 1 species